GAUGAACGCUAGCGGCAGGCCUAAUACAUGCAAGUCGAACGGUGUAGCAAUACACAGUGGCGCACGGGUGCGUAACACGUAUGCAACCUACCUUACAUUGGGGGAUAGCCUUUCGAAAGGCCGAUUAAUACCGCAUAAGACAGUAACCAGGCAUCUAGUACCUGUUCCAGAUUUAUCGAUGUAAGCUGGGCAUGCGUCCAAUUAGUUGGUUGGAGAGGUAAUGGCUCUCCAAGACGAUGAUUGGUAGGGGAACUGAGAGGUCAAUCCCCCACACUGGCACUGAGAUAAGGGCCAGACUUCUACGGGAGGCAGCAGUAGGGAAUGUUGGGCAAUGGGCGCAAGCCUGAUCCAGCCAUGCCGCGUGCAGGAAGAAGGCGUUAUGCGUUGUAAACUGCUUUUAUACAGGAAGAAACGACCCUUGCGAGGGGCACUGACGGUACUGUAUGAAUAAGCACCGGCUAACUCCGUGCCAGCCGCCGCAGUAAGAC
rnacentral:rRNA from 1 species